UCCGUGAGUACAUUUAAAGCGCUUGGCGACACUGCAAUCGCGGCCCAGUCGUCGCUUGGACUCCGAUCCGAUCAACGUGCAUAUUAUUUUCAUCGUCACUUUUAACGCCGACACGGGCGGGGUAUAUAGAUUGAGCAUGUCACUCAAAUAUUCCUGCCUGUUUCUUCUGGCGAUCAUAUCAUCCACGGCGCUACUGGUCGAAGCAGAGAGAAGAUGCAAAUUCGGCACGGCCUAUUUCACUGGCUGCACUUUAUGCGCUUGUGUGAAACGCGUGCCGGGUGGGGAUGAUCAUGACACCAAGAUUCAUUGCCCAGAUCAUGACUGCCCAUCGGGACACGUCGACCAUGAGCCACCUGAAUCUUUCUGGAUUCAGUAGACGAUUCUGCGAUUUGAAAUAAUGAUAUAUUACGUAUCCCGAGGUAUCAAACGCACACACACAAUCACCUACUUUGUAAUUAUUAAAUUAUUAAGCCGACAGAAAUAAAUGCGCGCGUCGA